rnacentral:rRNA from 1 species
AUUGAACGCUGGCGGCAGGCCUAACACAUGCAAGUCGAGCGGAUGAAGGGAGCUUGCUCCUGGAUUCAGCGGCGGACGGGUGAGUAAUGCCUAGGAAUCUGCCUGGUAGUGGGGGAUAACGUCCUGAAACGGGCGCUAAUACCGCAUACGUCCUGAGGGAGAAAGGGGGGGAUCUUCGGACCUCACGCUAUCAGAUGAGCCUAGGUCGGAUUAGCUAGUUGGUGGGGUAAAGGCCUACCAAGGCGACGAUCCGUAACUGGUCUGAGAGGAUGAUCAGUCACACUGGAACUGAGACACGGUCCAGACUCCUACGGGAGGCAGCAGUGGGGAAUAUUGGACAAUGGGCGAAAGCCUGAUCCAGCCAUGCCGCGUGUGUGAAGAAGGUCUUCGGAUUGUAAAGCCCUUUAAGUUGGGAGGAAGGGCAGUAAGUUAAUACCUUGCUGUUUUGACGUUACCAACAGAAUAAGCACCGGCUAACUUCGUG